UUGGUUAAGUUAGAAAGGGCGCACGGUGGAUGCCUUGGCACUAGGAGCCGAAGAAGGACGGGACUAACACCGAUAUGCUUUGGGGAGCUGUACGUAAGCGUUGAUCCAGAGAUUUCCGAAUGGGGGAACCCACUAUCUUUAGUCGGAUAGUAUCCUUACGUGAAUACAUAGCGUGAGGAAGGCAGACCCAGGGAACUGAAACAUCUAAGUACCUGGAGGAAGAGAAAGAAAAAUCGAUUUCCUGAGUAGCGGCGAGCGAAACGGAAAGAGCCCAAACCAAGAAGCUUGCUUCUUGGGGUUGUAGGACACUCUAUACGGAGUUACAAAAGAAAGUUAUAAAUGAAGCGGUCUGGAAAGGCCCGCCAAAGACGGUAACAGCCCGGUAGUUGAAAUAGCUUUCCCUCCAGAGUGGAUCCUGAGUACGGCGGAACACGUGAAAUUCCGUCGGAAUCCGGGAGGACCAUCUCCCAAGGCUAAAUACUCCCUAGUGACCGAUAGUGAACCAGUACCGUGAGGGAAAGGUGAAAAGCACCCCGGAAGGGGAGUGAAACAGUUCCUGAAACCGUGUGCCUACAAGUAGUUAGAGCCCGUUAAUGGGUGAUAGCGUGCCUUUUGUAGAAUGAACCGGCGAGUUACGAUUUGUUGCAAGGUUAAGCGGAAAAAGCGGAGCCGUAGCGAAAGCGAGUCUGAAUAGGGCGCAUAAGUAACAGGUCGUAGACCCGAAACCAGGUGAUCUACCCAUGUCCAGGAUGAAGGUAAGGUAAUACUUACUGGAGGUCCGAACCCACGCACGUUGAAAAGUGCGGGGAUGAGGUGUGGGUAGCGGAGAAAUUCCAAUCGAACUUGGAGAUAGCUGGUUCUCUCCGAAAUAGCUUUAGGGCUAGCCUCGAGGUAAAGAGUCAUGGAGGUAGAGCACUGUUUGGACUAGGGGCCCUUCUCGGG
rnacentral:rRNA from 1 species